rnacentral:lncRNA from 1 species
AAGAUGAACCAGGGUUCGAUGGUGCGGCUGGCCGUUUUAGCACUACGAAUGCCAACAUAGCACUCAUCAGCAAAGCUGCCAUAUCGAGAUGCUGCAAGAGCUGUCACAUGUAACAUGGUCAGGCUAUACCAUUGAAGAUUAGUAAGAUGGAAGCAUCAUAAUAUAACAGAGCAUGAGUGAAUUACAUCAUAAAGAUCAGGAAGUUCAUAGGUAGGAUAACCUUUUAAUAUUGAUGAGUGCAGAGAAAUCGGGAUGGGGAAUUGCAAAGCCUGGGUCAAUAGAAUUUCUUUUCCAUUAUUUUGUAAAGAGGAGC